rnacentral:rRNA from 1 species
UUCAGACGAUGCGUCAUGCAUAUCAAUAAGCGGAGGAAAAGAAACUAACAAGGAUUCUCUUAGUAACGGCGAGUGAAGCGGGAAGAGCUCAAAUUUGAAAUCUUCAAGGUUUUACCUUGACGAAUUGUAGUUUAAAGAAGUGUUUUCUGCUGAAGUUUUGGUAAAAGUUCUUUGGAAUAGGACAUCAUAGAGGGUGAGAAUCCCGUAUUUGACCAUUAUUUUCAGCUUUGUGAUACACUUUCAAAGAGUCGGAUUGUUUGGGAAUGCAGUCCAAAAUGGGUGGUAAAUUUCAUCUAAAGCUAAAUAUUGGCGAGAGACCGAUAGCGAACAAGUACCGUGAGGGAAAGAUGAAAAGAACUUUGAAAAGAGAGUUAAACAGUACGUGAAAUUGUCAAAAGGGAAGCGUUUGACACCAGUGUUGUUUUCUCGAAAAUCAAUUAAAAAUGGCUCGAUUCUGUAUUGUUGAGACCUUAAAAGCUCACUGUACAUUUUUCGUGUCUUUUUUAAUGCACUUUUCGUUUAACAAGUCAACAUCAGUUUCUUUUGUUGUAAAAGGGUCAUUGGAAGGUGGCUUUCUUUUCGGAGAAAGUGUUUAUAGCCUUUGGCCUCUGCAAUCGGAGAGACUGAGGUCUGCAGCGUAGACUCUUCGGGGUUAGAUACAUUUGUGCUAAGUUAUAGCUUUUUAUAGACAACUUGUUGACUAUAAUUAGUCUUGUAGCUUACUCGCUUAUGCUAUUUUACCUACGCUUAGGAUGUUGAACUACUGAGACAUAGA